UAUUGGUCAAUGGACGCAAGUCUGAACCAGCCAUGUCGCGUGCAGGAAGACUGCCCUAUGGGUUGUAAACUGCUUUUGUACGGGAAGAAAAUCAGCUACGUGUAGUUGUUUGCCGGUACCGUACGAAUAAGGAUCGGCUAACUCCGUGCCAGCAGCCGCGGUAAUACGGAGGAUCCGAGCGUUAUCCGGAAUUAUUGGGUUUAAAGGGUGCGUAGGCGGACUGGUAAGUCAGUGGUGAAAUCCUGCAGCUUAACUGUAGAAUUGCCGUUGAUACUGUUAGUCUUGAGUACAUUUGAGGUAGGCGGAAUGUGGUGUGUAGCGGUGAAAUGCAUAGAUAUACCACAGAACACCGAUUGCGAAGGCAGCUUACUAAACUGUAACUGACGCUGAGGCACGAAAGCGUGGGUAUCAAACAGG
rnacentral:rRNA from 1 species